rnacentral:rRNA from 1 species
UACGGAGGGGGCUAGCGUUAUUCGGAAUUAUUGGGCGUAAAGGGUGCGUAGGCGGGUUUUUAAGUCAGGGGUGAAAUCCUGGAGCUCAACUCCAGAACUGCCUUUGAUACUGAAAAUCUUGAGUCCGGGAGAGGUGAGUGGAACUGCGAGUGUAGAGGUGAAAUUCGUAGAUAUUCGCAAGAACACCAGUGGCGAAGGCGGCUCACUGGCCCGGUACUGACGCUGAGGCACGAAAGCGUGGGGAGCAAACAGG